UAUAGCGUAGGGGAAACGCCCGGUUACAUUCCGAACCCGGAAGCUAAGCCUUACAGCGCCGAUGGUACUGCAGGGGGGACCCUGUGGGAGAGUAGGAC
rnacentral:rRNA from 1 species